AUCUUUGCCUUGAAUUUUGGUGUUAUUCAUUUCACACGGCUUCGAAAUGAAUGAUGAAAAGGGAAUCAGGUGCAAAUCCUGAACAGACCCGCUGCUGUAAGCUCCGCUUACGUGCUGGACAAAAACCUCAAUUGCCACUGUCCCGAUAAACCGGGAUGGGAAGGCGUUCAGACACGGGAGUAAGUCAGAAGACCUGCCAGAAAUAUAUAGAGUUU
rnacentral:ncRNA from 1 species